rnacentral:rRNA from 1 species
AGCAGUAGCCGCGGGAAUACGUAGGUGGCAAGCGUUGUCCGGAAUUAUUGGGCGUAAAGGGCUCGCAGGCGGUUUCUUAAGUCUGAUGUGAAAGCCCCCGGCUCAACCGGGGAGGGUCAUUGGAAACUGGGAAACUUGAGUGCAGAAGAGGAGAGUGGAAUUCCACGUGUAGCGGUGAAAUGCGUAGAGAUGUGGAGGAACACCAGUGGCGAAGGCGACUCUCUGGUCUGUAACUGACGCUGAGGAGCGAAAGCGUGGGGAGCGAACAGGAUUAGAUACCCCCGUAGUCCCUGUCUCUUAUAA